UAGGGAAUCUUCCGCAAUGGACGCAAGUCUGACGGAGCAACGCCGCGUGAGUGAAGAAGGAUUUCGGUUCGUAAAACUCUGUUGUUAGAGAAGAACAGCGCAUAGAGUAACUGUUAUGCGUGUGACGGUAUCUAACCAGAAAGCCACGGCUCACUACGUGCCAGCAGCCGCGGUAAUACGUAGGUGGCAAGCGUUGUCCGGAUUUAUUGGGCGUAAAGCGAGCGCAGGCGGUCAAUUAAGUCUGAUGUGAAAGCCCCCGGCUCAACCGGGGAGGGUCAUUGGAAACUGGUUGACUUGAGGGCAGAAGAGGAGAGUGGAAUUCCAUGUGUAGCGGUGAAAUGCGUAGAUAUAUGGGGGAACACCAGUGGCGAAGGCGACUCUCUGGUCUGUAACUGACGCUGAGGUUCGAAAGCGUGGGUAGCAAACAGG
rnacentral:rRNA from 1 species